rnacentral:rRNA from 1 species
GACGAACGCUGGCGGCGUGCUUAACACAUGCAAGUCGAACGGAAAGGCCCUGCUUUUGUGGGGUGCUCGAGUGGCGAACGGGUGAGUAACACGUGAGUAACCUGCCCUUGACUUUGGGAUAACUUCAGGAAACUGGGGCUAAUACCGGAUAGGAGCUCCUGCUGCAUGGUGAGGGUUGGAAAGUUUCGGCGGUUGGGGAUGGACUCGCGGCUUAUCAGCUUGUUGGUGGGGUAGUGGCUUACCAAGGCUUUGACGGGUAGCCGGCCUGAGAGGGUGACCGGCCACAUUGGGACUGAGAUACGGCCCAGACUCCUACGGGAGGCAGCAGUGGGGAAUAUUGCACAAUGGGCGGAAGCCUGAUGCAGCAACGCCGCGUGCGGGAUGACGGCCUUCGGGUUGUAAACCGCUUUCGCCUGUGACGAAGCGUGAGUGACGGUAAUGGGUAAAGAAGCACCGGCUAACUACGUGCCAGCAGCCGCGGUGAUACGUAGGGUGCGAGCGUUGUCCGGAUUUAUUGGGCGUAAAGGGCUCGUAGGUGGUUGAUCGCGUCGGAAGUGUAAUCUUGGGGCUUAACCCUGAGCGUGCUUUCGAUACGGGUUGACUUGAGGAAGGUAGGGGAGAAUGGAAUUCCUGGUGGAGCGGUGGAAUGCGCAGAUAUCAGGAGGAACACCAGUGGCGAAGGCGGUUCUCUGGGCCUUUCCUGACGCUGAGGAGCGAAAGCGUGGGGAGCGAACAGGCUUAGAUACCCUGGUAGUCCACGCUGUAAACGGUGGGUACUAGGUGUGGGGUCCAUUCCACGGGUUCCGUGCCGUAGCUAACGCUUUAAGUACCCCGCCUGGGGAGUACGGCCGCAAGGCUAAAACUCAAAGGAAUUGACGGGGCCCCGCACGAGCGGCGGAGCAUGCGGAUUAAUUCGAUGCAACGCGUAGAACCUUACCUGGGUUUGACAUGGAUCGGGAGUGCUCAGAGAUGGGUGUGCCUCUUUUGGGGUCGGUUCACAGGUGGUGCAUGGCUGUCGUCAGCUCGUGUCGUGAGAUGUUGGGUUAAGUCCCGCAACGAGCGCAACCCUUGUUCACUGUUGCCAGCACGUUAUGGUGGGGACUCAGUGGAGACCGCCGGGGUCAACUCGGAGGAGGGUGGGGAUGACGUCAAGUCAUCAUGCCCCUUAUGUCCAGGGCUUCGCGCAUGCUACAAUGGCUGGUACAGAGAGUGGCGAGCCUGUGAGGGUGAGCGAAUCUCGGAAAGCCGGUCUCAGUUCGGAUUGGGGUCUGCAACUCGACCUCAUGAAGUCGGAGUCGCUAGUAAUCGCAAAUCAGCAACGCUGCGGUGAAUACGUUCCCGGGGC